CUCCUACGGGAGGCAGCAGUCGGGAAUUUUGGGCAAUGGGGGAAACCCUGACCCAGCAACGCCGCGUGAAGGAUGAAGUAUUUCGGUAUGUAAACUUCGAAAGAAUAGGAAGAAUUAAUGACGGUACUAUUUAUAAGGUCCGGCUAACUACGUGCCAGCAGCCGCGGUAAUACGUAGGGACCAAGCGUUGUUCGGAUUUACUGGGCGUAAAGGGCUCGUAGGCGGCAUGGCAAGUCACUUGUGAAAUCUCCGGGCUUAACUCGGAACGGCCAAGUGAUACUGCUGAGCUAGAGUGCAGAAGGGGCAAUCGGAAUUCUUGGUGUAGCGGUGAAAUGCGUAGAUAUCAAGAGGAACACCUGAGGUGAAGACGGGUUGCUGGGCUGACACUGACGCUGAUGCGCGAAAGCUAGGGGAGCAAACGGGAUUAGAUACCCCGGUAGUCCUAGCCCUAAACGAUGAAUACUUGGUGUCUGGAGGUUUAAUACUCCGGGUGCCGUCGCUAACGUUUUUAGU
rnacentral:rRNA from 1 species